rnacentral:rRNA from 1 species
AGUGAACGCUGGCGGUAGGCCUAACACAUGCCAGUCGAACGACAGCACCUUAAUUGCUUGCUCUUACGGUUGGCGAGUGGCGGACGGGUGAGGAAUAACUUGGAAUCUACUUUUUCGUGGGGGAUGACGUAUGGAAACUUUCGCUAAUACCGCAUACGACCUACGGGUGAAAUCAGGGGAUCUUCGGACCUUGCGCUAUUGAUUGAGCCGAUGUCGGUUUAGCUGGUUGGCGAGGUAAAGGGCCACCAAGGCGACGAUCCGUAGCUGGACUGAGAGGAUGAUAGCCGACACUGGAGGUGAAACACGGUCCAGAGUCCUGAGGGAGGGAGCAGUGGGGAAUAGUAGGCAGUGGGGGCGAGUCUGAUCCAGCCAUACCGCGUGGGUGAAGGAGGCGUUCGGGUAGGAAAGACCUUUUGUUGGGAAAGAAAAGCAGUAGGUUAAUAACAAGCUGUAGUGACGGUACCCAAAGAAUAAGCACCGGCUAACUUCGUG